CUCAAGGAGAUGAAUGGUAAGUACGUGGGGAAUCGUCCGAUUAAGCUCCGAAAAAGCAACUGGAGGGAGAGAACUGAUUAUGAUGCUCUAGAACGACAUAAGAAUCAAAGUCAGAAGAAGCCAAAGCUUUCAAAGAAGGGGAUAUUUCACAAAUAGCUUUAGAACAUUACUUUUACUCAUUUCUAUGACGGUGAUCUUAAGAUUUUCGAGGUUUUUUCUCACCGUGUAUUAAAUCUAGUGAUCCAUGGGCACUUGAAGUCAGAAUCAAAUUAUGUGAUCACCCGAUUUCUAUCA